rnacentral:sRNA from 1 species
CUGCGGUUCUGAGCGCGCCGUCCGCGCCCCCCCGACAGCUGCUCGCGACGUUGUGUUAA